rnacentral:rRNA from 1 species
AGCUAAUAGAUACCCAGGUAGUCCACGCCCUAAACGAUGUCUACUAGUUGUUGGUGGAGUAAAAUCCAUGAGUAAACGCAGCUAACGCGUGAAGUAGACCGCCUGGGGAGUACGGUCGCAAGAUUAAAACUCAAAGGAAUUGACGGGGGCCGCACAAGCGGUGGAUUAUGUGGAUUAAUUUCGAUGCAACGCGAAAACCUUAACCUGGCCUUGACAUGCCACUAACGAAGCAGAGAUGCAUUAGGUUGCCCGUAACGGGAAAGUGGACACAGGUGCUGCAUGGCUGUCGUCCGCUCGUGUCGUGAGAUGUUGGGUUUAAGUCCCGCAACGAGCGCAACCCUUGCCAUUAAUUGCCAUCAUUUAGUUGGGCACUUUAAUGGGACUGCCGGUGACAAACCGGAGGAAGGUGGGGAUGACGUCAAGUCCUCAUGGCCCUUAUGGCCAGGGCGUUCACACGUAAUACAAUGGUCGGUACAGAGAGUUGCCAACCCGCGAGGGGAGCUAAUCUCAGAAAGCCGAUCGUAGUCCGGAUUGUUC